AGAGUUUGAUCCUGGCUCAGAUUGAACGCUGGCGGCAUGCCUUACACAUGCAAGUCGAACGGCAGCACGGGAGCAAUCCUGGUGGCGAGUGGCGAACGGGUGAGUAAUAUAUCGGAACGUGCCCAAUCGUGGGGGAUAACGCAGCGAAAGCUGUGCUAAUACCGCAUACGACCUACGGAUGAAAGCGGGGGACUCAGCAAUGGGCCUCGCGCGAAUGGAGCGGCCGAUAUCAGAUUAGCUAGUUGGUGGGGUAAAGGCUCACCAAGGCGACGAUCUGUAGCUGGUCUGAGAGGACGACCAGCCACACUGGAACUGAGACACGGUCCAGACUCCUACGGGAGGCAGCAGUGGGGAAUUUUGGACAAUGGGCGCAAGCCUGAUCCAGCAAUGCCGCGUGCAGGAUGAAGGCCUUCGGGUUGUAAACUGCUUUUG
rnacentral:rRNA from 1 species